rnacentral:rRNA from 1 species
UACGUAGGGGGCAAGCGUUGUCCGGAAUCAUUGGGCGUAAAGAGCGUGUAGGCGGCUCGAUAAGUCUGCUGUGAAAGUCCAGGGCUCAACCCUGGAAGGCCGGUGGAAACUGUCGGGCUAGAGUCCGGAAGAGGCGAGUGGAAUUCCCGGUGUAGCGGUGAAAUGCGCAGAUAUCGGGAGGAACACCAAUGGCGAAGGCAGCUCGCUGGGGCGGUACUGACGCUGAGACGCGAAAGCGUGGGGAGCAAACAGG